rnacentral:rRNA from 1 species
CCUACGGGGGGCAGCAGUGGGGGAUAUUGCACAAUGGGGGAAACCCUGAUGCAGCGACGCCGCGUGGGUGAAGACGCGCCUCGGCGCGUAAAGCCCUGUCAGCAGGGAAGAAAAUGACGGUACCUGAAGAAGAAGCCCCGGCUAACUACGUGCCAGCAGCCGCGGUAAUACGGAGGGGGGCAGCGUUAUCCGGAUUUACUGGGUGUUAAGGGGGAGCAGACGGCGAUGCAAGCCAGGAGUGAAAGCCCGGGGCCCGACCCCAGGACUGCUCUUGGAACUGCGUGGCUAGAGUGCAGGAGGGGCAGGCGGAAUGCCUGGUGUAGCGGUGAAAUGCGUAGAUAUCAGGAGGAACACCGGUGGCGAAGGCGGCCUGCUGGCCUGCAACUGACGUUGAGGCCCGAAAGCGUGGGGAGCAAACAGGAUUAGAUACCCGGGUAGUC